rnacentral:sRNA from 1 species
GUUACCUCUGUUAAAUCGCUGACAGCAGUUUAAGGUCCAAUAGGCUGGUACUCACAUGGGCUGCGUGGAUGUUUUAUAUUUCCAGAACCUAGCACAGUGCCAGGCAUAAAACAAUGCUAGGAGCUAGAAACAUGAGGAAUACAUGAGCUCGGUGCCAAUGGAACGUGCUUUCACACCGGGUGCAGCUGACUACCACAUCAUACAAAACUCAUCACUGCCGUUUUAGAUGUGUAAUCUGAUUGGCAUGGGCUCACAGAGGAGGGAGUAAGGGAAGAGUAAGAAGAUUUCAAAGGAGAGACACAGGUUGCAGGUUAGCAGGAGAACAGGCAAGCCAAAUGCAAAGGAGCCACUUCAGAAAUGUCACAGAAAAGUGAAAAUGCAGCCUAGUGGUAAAUGAAGAGGGGAAGAAGAAAGAAAAAGGACCAGAACCGUGAACUGAAGGGACGGGGAACAGCCAGAGGAGAGCUUCAGCCAUCACGAGGAUGAUUUCGGAACCUGGAGAAAAUGUGUUCCUGGCUCUAUGCCAAAUGCAUCCUGGACUGGAAACCUCAGAGCUAUAAAGUGGAGUGACAUGGAAG